CGGAGGGCGCGAGCGUUACCCGGAUUUACUGGGGCGUAAAAGGGCGUGUAGGCGGCUUGGAGCGUCCCAUGUGAAAGGCCACGGCUCAACCGUGGAGGAGCGUGGGAUACGCUCAGGCUAGAGGGUGGGAGAGGGUGGUGGAAUUCCCGGAGUAGCGGUGAAAAUGCGCAGAUACCCGGGGAGGAACGCCGAUGGCGAAGGCAGCCACCUGGUCCACUUCUGACGCUGAGGCGCGAAAAGCGUGGGGAGCAAACCGGAUU
rnacentral:rRNA from 1 species